GAUGAAGAACGUAGCGAAAUGCGAUACGUAAUGUGAAUUGCAGAAUUCAGUGAAUCAUCGAAUCUUUGAACGCAUAUUGCGCUCUCUGGUAUUCCGGAGAGCAUGCUUGUUUGAGUAUCAGUAAACACCUCAACUCCCUUUUCUUUUUUGAAAUGGGAGCUGGACUUGAGUGAUCCCAACACUUUUCUCACUGGAAAGUGGCGGGUCACUUGAAAUGCAGGUGCAGCUGGACUUUUCUCUGAGCUAUAAGCAUAUCUAUUUAGUCUGCCUAAAAACAGAUUAUUACCUUUGCUGCAGCUAACAUAAAGGAGAUGAGUUCUUGUGCUGACUGAUGCAGGAUUCACAGAGACAGCUUUGCGGCUGACUUUGUAAACUCGAUCUCAAAUCAAGUAAGACUACCCGCUGAACUUAAGCAUAUCAAUAAGCGGAGGA
rnacentral:misc_RNA from 1 species